AAUGAACGUUGGCGGCGUGCCUAACACAUGCAAGUCGAGCGAGAAAGCUCCUUCGGGAGUGAGUAAAGCGGCGGACGGGUGUAUAACACGUAAGAAUCUUCCCUUCAGUGAAGAAUACCCUCGAGAAAUCGAGGCUAAUACUGCAUAAUCCCUACGGGGAAAAGGUGGCUUUAUGCUGCCGCUGAAGGAUGAGCUUGCGGUCUAUUAGCUUGUUGGUGAGGUAAAGGCUCACCAAGGCGAUGAUGGAUAGCCGGCCUGAGAGGGUGUACGGCCACAUUGGGACUGAGACACGGCCCAGACUCCUACGGAGGCAGCAGUGAGGAAUAUUGCGCAAUGGGCGAAAGCCUGACGCAGCGACGCCGCGUGAAGGAUGAAGGUCUUCGGAUUGUAAACUUCUGUUAAGCGGGAAGAAAGUCCAGCCUCUAACAUAGGUUGAGAUGACGGUA
rnacentral:rRNA from 1 species